rnacentral:rRNA from 1 species
CGAACGCUGGCGGCGUGCUUAACACAUGCAAGUCGAACGCGAACGAUUUCUUUCGGGAAAUUUAGUAGAGUGGCGCACGGGUGAGUAACGCGUAAGUAAUCUACCUAGGCAUCUGGAAUAACAAUUCGAAAGGAUUGCUAAUACCGGAUACGUUGGAGACAAGAAAGGUGGCCUCUGUUUCAUGCUACCGUGCUUAGAGGAGCUUGCGUACCAUUAGCUAGUUGGUGGGGUAAUGGCCUACCAAGGCAACGAUGGUUAGCGGGUCUGAGAGGAUGAUCCGCCACACUGGAACUGGAACACGGACCAGACUCCUACGGGAGGCAGCAGUGAGGAAUAUUGCGCAAUGGGGGCAACCCUGACGCAGCGACGCCGCGUGGAUGAUGAAGGCUUUCGGGUCGUAAAAUCCUGUCAGAUGGGAAGAAAUGUAUAUGUAUUAAUACUAUGUAUGCUUGACGGUACCAUCAAAGGAAGCACCGGCUAACUCC